GACGAACGCUGGCGGCGUGCUUAACACAUGCAAGUCGAACGGAAAGGCCCUGCUUUUGUGGGGUGCUCGAGUGGCGAACGGGUGAGUAACACGUGAGUAACCUGCCCUUGACUUUGGGAUAACUUCAGGAAACUGGGGCUAAUACCGGAUAGGAGCUCCUGCUGCAUGGUGGGGGUUGGAAAGUUUCGGCGGUUGGGGAUGGACUCGCGGCUUAUCAGCUUGUUGGUGGGGUAGUGGCUUACCAAGGCUUUGACGGGUAGCCGGCCUGAGAGGGUGACCGGCCACAUUGGGACUGAGGGACGGAGCAGACUCCAACGGGAGGCAGCAGUGGGGAAUAUUGCACAGUGGGCGGAAGCCUGAGGCGGCAACGCCGCGUGCGGAAUGACGGCCUUCGGGGUGUAAACCGCUGUCGCCUGUGACGAAGCGUGAGUGACGGUAAUGGGUAAAGAAGCACCGGCUAACUACGUG
rnacentral:rRNA from 1 species